rnacentral:rRNA from 1 species
AGUGAACGCUGGCGGUAGGCCUAACACAUGCAAGUCGAACGGCAGCACAGUAAGAGCUUGCUCUUACGGGUGGCGAGUGGCGGACGGGUGAGGAAUACAUCGGCAUCUACUUUUUCGUGGGGGAUAACGUAGGGAAACUUACGCUAAUACCGCAUACGACCUACGGGUGAAAGCAGGGGAUAUUCGGACCUUGCGCGAUUGAAUGAGCCGAUGUCGGAUUAGCUAGUUGGCGGGGUAAAGGCCCACCAAGGCGACGAUCCGUAGCUGGUCUGAGAGGAUGAUCAGCCACACUGGAACUGAGACACGGUCCAGACUCCUACGGGAGGCAGCAGUGGGGAAUAUUGGACAAUGGGCGCAAGCCUGAUCCAGCCAUACCGCGUGGGUGAAGAAGGCCUUCGGGUUGUAAAGCCCUUUUGUUGGGAAAGAAAAGCAGCAGGUUAAUACCCCGCUGUUCUGACGGUACCCAAAGAAUAAGCACCGGCUAACUUCGUG